GUUUUGGAUGAUGAUGAAAAAAAUUACUUUUGUUCUUCUGAAGUUCGCAAUGUUGAAGAACAAUUUGGAGAGCUGAACUGAGGAGAU
rnacentral:snoRNA from 1 species